rnacentral:rRNA from 1 species
UACGUAGGGACCGAGCGUUGUCCGGAUUCAUUGGGCGUAAAGAGCUCGUAGGCGGCUAUUCAAGUCGAACGUGAAAUCUCGGAGCUCAACUCCGAAACUGCGUUCGAUACUGGGUAGCUAGAGUCUGGUAGGGGGAUCUGGAAUUCCUGGUGUAGCGGUGGAAUGCGCAGAUAUCAGGAGGAACACCGGUGGCGAAGGCGGUUCUCUGGGCAUUACCUGACGCUGAGGAGCGAAAGUGUGGGGAGCGAACAGG